UACGUAGGGGGCAAGCGUUGUCCGGAAUCAUUGGGCGUAAAGCGCGUGUAGGCGGCUUGGUAAGUCCGCUCUGAAAACCCGGGGCUCAACCCCGGGCCUGCAGUCGAUACGGGCAGACUAGAGUGCGGUAGGGGAGACUGGAAUUCCUGGUGUAGCGGUGAAAUGCGCAGAUAUCAGGAGGAACACCAAUGGCGAAGGCAGCACUCUGGGACGGUACUGACGCUGAGACGCGAAAGCGUGGGGAGCAAACAGG
rnacentral:rRNA from 1 species